GAUUUUUGUUCAACAAUAAUUAUCAAAACAUUUUUACAAAUUUAACUCCAAAUAAAUUUAAACAUUUUCAAACACUAUGGAUUGGUAUCCUUCCCCAUGUAACUCGCAUGCUAGAUAUUUUAUUUUUCUUUUACAUCUUAUUUUAGUUCUCACGCUUUUUAUAUACAUAUGUGCGUAAGAUUGUGUAUCAAAUCAUACACAUUACUGAAUAUCAAUCUCAUUUUUUUUGCAAAAAUACUUUUGUCUUUUUUUCACAAACGUAAAUCCAAUUGCAUUUUUUUAUCAUUAAUGUCUCAUUGGAAAUUAAUUGCGCACUUAUUAAAUUCUUUAAUUACGCACUUUACUUAUGAUCAUCUUACUUGGUAACAUUCGAUUUAUUCUCGAAUUAAAAGUUGAUAUAGUAAGACGUGUUUUAAAAUCUAUAGUGAUUAAAGUGUGACAAAGUUAAAAAUUUUCCAUGUGGAGUUUUGACAAUUAUAUAAUAUUUUAUAAUAAUUUAAUCUAUAUCCACAUAUAUCCCGAUCUCAAAAGACAAAUUUAUACCAAAUUUCAUAAAUUGGAGAUUUUCCUCCAAAAUCCAAAUACAUAUCACAAAAGGACCACGUGUGAGUCCACCUAACUAAGUUACAGAGUUUACUCCUUAACAUCAAUAUUGAUACCUCAUGAUCCACGUGGCCAAUAAUAUUAACCAACAUUAAGUCAGGAACUACACAAUUCCGGGAGAAAACCAAUGCCUUCAAUUUAUUAAAUACUAAAUAUUACUAUUAAUGGAAAUCACAUGCUGAAUAGUUCAAAAUUACUCAUAAAUUUAUCAUAAAAGGAAAAACUUAAUCUAAAUUCCUAGAAUUGAAUAUUUAACUUAAAUUUGCAAAGGAAAUCACAUUGUAAAUCCAAAAAAAAUUAAUCUUAAAUUGUCUAGAAAAUUUAAUUGACUUACAUUAACAAUUAUUACACCUAGAAAUUUCCUAAAAACAGAAAAAGUUCUAAAAAUCUAAAUUGGCCUAAAUAUGUGCAUUAAAACACCUUAAAUCUAUACUGCACUUCAAAUUUGUUAAAAGUUAUUAAAACACUUACUAAUUAUAUUGCACAUUCAAAUAUUUCUAAAAACCUAAUCUAAAUUGCAUCUAAAUUUAUAUAAAAAUUACUAAAACUCUUCCUAAAAUCUAUUAAAACUACUUAAAAUUAACAUAAUGUCUUUAAAUUAAACAUUGUUGCAAAUUUCUUGAACUUAUAAUAAUUCUUAACAUUUAUAUGCAAUUUAUAUUAUAAUUAUUUUUUUUUAAAAACUCUUGUAAAAAUGUAUCAAUUAAACUAAAUUUAAAUCGAAUGUAAAAUUAUAGAUUAUAAUUAUUAUACUUGAAUUUAGAGACCAAAUUAUAAAUUAAUUUAAUCGUAUUAAAACGUUAAUCUAAAUUAUAUUUCCUAUUAAUCUAAAUUCAAAAGCAUAAAUGUAAAUAUUUAAUUUUAAUUUUCAUAUUUUGAUACCAUGGAAAAAAAAUGUUAAAUGGAAUCUACUAACAUUUUUUCAUUAGUGUAUUAAAAUAUCUUUUGCUUAUUUUUAUCGUACUCUAUUUUUUUUAUUUUUUUGUCACUUUAAUAUUUUAAUUCAUGUUUAUUUUUCAUUCAUAAUCUCAAAAUCAUUGUAAUGUAUUUUUAAAUAUUAAUAACAACAACAACUUCAUCGUGUACUCCUGAUUGCUGGGCCCAACAUCAAAGAGACAACAUGAAUUGGAACAUCAUUACUAAAUGAUUUUGUGAGUAACAAGUAAAAGAAUUAUUAUUUAAGAGUAUUAAUUACUUAUUAUUAUUGAUCUGUCCGUCGGUCCGUUUCAACUUUGUCCCCAUGCGUAUUUAUUAGUAAUUUUAAUUUCUUUCCAUUUCUUUAUUACUUCUGAUCAUUUUUCUCUUUGAGUAAUGAUUUUACAUUCUUUCAUACAUAUUUAUGGUUGCGUAGAAUAUCAUUAUUAUAUAUAUUUUUUUUUUGCUUUACUUUACUUUUUUUUCAAUAAAUUAAAUAUGUUGAAUUGCGUAAAAUGAA
rnacentral:lncRNA from 1 species